GGCGCGCGGCGGCCAGCGCUUCCGGUCGGAAGGAGGCGGGGCGAGGCGGAAGCGGCGCUUGCCGCAGAUGGAGUCUAUUAGUUUUGAUAAAGAGUUAGGGCAAGUUUAGGGCACUGUGGCAGCAUUGAGAUAAAGUCUGGUUCCUCCCCAGCUCGCUCAGGAAAUGUUCGCGGAUACAAUGGCGGCCCCCUGUGGGCAUACCUGCCUGUGGAGCGGAGAGUGGACCGGGUGAGGGGAAGCGGGAGAGGCACCUAAUCUGGCCUGGGGGCCCGGGAAUCUUCCUCUCAGGUGACAUUUGCCCCAGGGAAGGUCACAGCUGCCUGAACCUUUAAAACUCCCGGACACACACUGCCUGUGCAGGAUCUGGAACCCAGCAGCACUGCCAGGGCCUUGAAGUGCUGCUUCAGAGACCUCUCUUCAUAAACUACUUUUUUUCUUAAAGCAGCAAAAGGAGAAAAUUGACAUCAAAGGAUAUUCCAGAUUCUUGAUAGCCUUCUCAUCAUCUGUGAGGACAGCCCCAUCAUCUCAGGAUGAGGGGCAUGAGGCUGCUGGGGGCUCUGCUGGCACUGUUGGCCCUACUGCAGGGGGCCAUGUCCCUGAAGAUCGCAGCCUUCAACAUCCAGACAUUUGGGGAGACCAAGAUGUCCAAUGCCACCCUCGUCAGCUACAUUGUGCAGAUCCUGAGCCGCUACGACAUCGCCCUGGUCCAGGAGGUCAGAGACAGCCACCUGACUGCCGUGGGGAAGCUGCUGGACAACCUCAAUCAGGAUGCACCAGACACCUAUCACUAUGUGGUCAGUGAACCACUGGGACGGAACAGCUAUAAGGAGCGCUACCUGUUCGUGUACAGGCCUGACCAGGUGUCUGUGGUGGACAGCUACUACUACGAUGACGGCUGCGAGCCCUGUGGGAACGACACCUUCAGCCGGGAGCCAGCCAUCGUCAGGUUCUCCUGCCCAUUCACAGGGAGUGGCCGCUGCACAGAGGUCAGGGAGUUUGCCAUUGUCCCCCUGCAUGCGGCCCCGGAGGACGCAGUAGCUGAGAUCGAUGCUCUCUAUGACGUCUACCUGGAUGUCCAAGAUAAAUGGGGCUUGGAGGACGUCAUGUUGAUGGGCGACUUCAAUGCGGGCUGCAGCUAUGUGAGACCCUCCCAGUGGUCAUCCAUCCGCCUGCGGACGAGCCCCACCUUCCAGUGGCUGAUCCCUGACACCGCUGACACCACAGCUACAUCGACGCACUGCGCCUACGACAGGAUCGUGGUUGCAGGGACGCUGCUCCAGGACGCCGUUGUUCCCGACUCGGCUCUUCCCUUUAACUUCCAGGCUGCCUAUGGCCUGAGUGACCAACUGGCCCAAGCCAUCAGUGACCACUAUCCAGUGGAGGUGAUGCUGAAGUGAGCAGCCUUCCCCACGCCAGCUGAACUACAGGAAGAGAGGACCCAUCCUGCCGCAGGAGCCAGACAAACAGCCCAACACUCAGGUUAAGAAAUACCUUUUAAUUUAGCGACAGAGGCAGUCUCUGGUGAGCACACGGACAUGGGUGAAGUCCACGGUUCUCAGUCCUCCUCACAGCUGGCCAGUGGGUGUCAGUGGGAUUUGGAGAAGGGCCCUUAGAGGAGGGGUUUGCCCUCCUCCCCAUCACCUGAACACAACUGUGACCUCUGGAGCUCAUGGGAGCUGCCGCUGGAAGGACACAGCGGGGAAAACAGACGGAAAGAGGGAAAAGCAAGGAGCUGGGCAUCCACCCAGCAGGGCCCAGGCCACCCCUGCACACAUGGUGGGUCUGCACUAAGACAUGUCACACAUGCACACCUACAAAGACCUAGAAAUGUCUCUGGCUCCUACCUAUGUGCUAUUAACUCAAAUGAAGAUAAACGAGAAUGAAGAGGCCUGUGUCAGAAGCUGCAGGAGUCUGCAGACCACCAGAACGCAGCCUCCUUGGGACCCCACACGCGUGGUCACCCUCCUCCCGCUGCUGGAGAGAAGGGACAUCAGCACAGGAUGGGCUCCUAGGAUGACAUGUGCUGGGAUUACGGUGGAGGCAGCUGCACCACACUGUGAAUGCACUCAAUGCCACUGAAGUGUACGUGUUAAAAGCUGAAUUCUGUGAAUUUGAUGCUAUGUAAAUUGUAUCUCAAUAAAAAAUGGACAAAAAAUGUUUAUGGAA